ACGACCGGCGCACGGGUGAGUAACGCGUAUGCAACCUACCCGUAGCUGAGGGAUAGCCCGGAGAAAUUCGGAUUAAUACCUCAUAAUACUACUGAAUCACAUGGUUCGGUUUUUAAAGUUCCGGCGGCUACGGAUGGGCAUGCGUGACAUUAGUUUGUUGGUGAGGUAACGGCUCACCAAGACUGCGAUGUCUAGGGGGUCUUAAAGGAUGAUCCCCCACACUGGUACUGAGACACGGACCAG
rnacentral:rRNA from 1 species